rnacentral:rRNA from 1 species
GACGAACCGUGCGAACGUUGUUCGGAAUCACUGGGCGUAAAGGGCGCGUAGGCGGCCGAUCAAGUCAGGGGUGAAAGCCUGUGGCUCAACCACAGAAUGGCCUUUGAUACUGUUCGGCUCGAGACCGGAAGAGGUUGGUGGAACUGCGAGUGUAGAGGUGAAAUUCGUAGAUAUUCGCAAGAACACCAGUGGCGAAGGCGGCCAACUGGUCCGGUUCUGACGCUGAGGCGCGAAAGCGUGGGGAGCAAACAGG